UCGGACGUGGUGCAUGGUGCAUGCCUGCUGAGACUGGAAAUUUGCCUCGAACUCGUCUACUGCGCGAGAUCCGGGUUCGAUUCCCGGCGUCUGAA